CCUUGGUUGUGGAGUUGCUAGUUGGGGAGCAUACCUGUUGAAGAGGAACAUCAUAGCCAUGUCAUUUGCACCAAGGGAUACACACGAAGCACAGGUUUGGUUUGCAUUAGAGCGAGGAGUUCCUGCUAUGAUUGGGAUCAUGGCUUCCCAGAGACUUCCUUAUCCUGCAAGGGCUUUUGACAUGGCUCACUGUUCCCGUUGCUUGAUCCCUUGGAAUAAAAAUGAUGGAAUGUAUCUAAUAAAC